AGCGCCAUCUUCCGCGGCAGCCGGCGGCGACACCUAGCGAGCGAGCGACAGGAGCGGCGUCGGAGCGAGCCCAACUUGGGCUCUCAACUUAGUCUUCUCUGCAGUAAACGCUGACAAGAAACGUUGAGGACACCUGUGGCGUGACAGCGGGCUUCCUUCUCUGCCAGGGACUGGUCUGAGCUGUCCCAGCACUCGCUGCCCAGUCGGGCUGCGCUGCGAAGGGCUGCGCCGGGGCGGGCGCGCGGUGCGCCCCGGGCUGCGUCGGGGCCUUGAGCAUCGCUGCAGAGCCUUGAGGCACUUAAAUGAACUGCAGGGAGACAAGAUGAAAAGAGAACUGAUUCCGAUUUCAUAAUUAACUUUUUAGCUGGUGAAUGAGAUAAUGUGCUGGUCAUCUCUCCAGCUGGAAUGCUCUUUUACUGGUCUAAUGAGGGUCAAAGGAUUUUUUUUUUCUCAUAGCUCUUAUGCUUGACUUUCAAAUAAAGCAAAUAUAGUAAAAUGUUAAUUGUUUUCUUCUGCUUUUCUUUUUUCUUCCCUUGCAAGCCCUGUGGGAUCACCACUUCAGUAUUCCAGAAGGAAGAAAUAGAGGACUUCAGUUACCUGUGAACAGAUUUGUCCUAUGAACUAUUACGACACAUACAUAAGAUUUCUGAAAAAAAAACCUGCUUUUUGAAGUGAAAACUCAGAUUAAUCGCAAGAACACAAGACCUUGUCAGAAAAUGCUGGAGAAACAUCACUGUCAUAGUGACUGUGUCAGAAAAAAAGCAACCUUGAAGUUACUGUUUGCUCUAGUGCAUAAUCCGUUCCUGAAUAGAUCUUCAGUGCCAAAGGAAUAUAAAGUGACAAAUACCAUUUCAGUCUGUGAAACAAUCUCUGUGUUUCCUGAGCACUAAAAACAGAUCUAACUUUCUCAGAGUUUUCUGCCAGCUCUGCUGUUUGUCAGGCUUUGCAGGAGAAAGCCAGCUGUCCUGUUAAAUUACCAGUCUUCAAGAGGAAGUCAACCUCAGCUUUCUUUUAAAUGAUAGAUAAACCUACACUGCCUGAAAUAAAAAUAAAAAUAAAAUUAUUAAAAAAAAAACACAACUGUACUCAGUUUCUAGCAUCAUGAGA